CGAAUACGAGACGCUACGGCGUCGAAGUAGUGUAUGUCAUACUUCCAAGAAAAGCUUGCACUGUCAUAAAUAAUAAAUGCCUGUACCAUAACCGACACAGGUGGGUAGGUAGAGUAUACUAAGGGGCGCGAGAUAACUCUCUCUAAGGAACUCGGCAAAAUAACUCCGUAACUUCGGGAGAAGGAGUGCCUUAUUUAAAUAAGGUUGCAAUAACAAGAUCCAAGCAACUGUUUACCAAAAACACAGGUCUCCGCUAAGUCGUAAGACGAUGUAUGGGGGCUGACGCCUGCCCAGUGCCAGAAGGUUAAAGAAGUUGGUUAGCAUCUGCGAAACUGGUAACUGAAGCCCUGGUGAACGGCGGCCGUAACGAUAACGGUCCUAAGGUAGCGAAAUUCCUUGUCGGGUAAGUUCCGACCCGCACGAAAGGCGUAAUGAUUUGGAUACUGUCUCGGAGAGGGGCUCGGUGAAAUAGACUUGUCUGUGAAGAUGCGGACUACCUGCACCUGGACAGAAAGACCCUAUGAAGCUUUACUGUACUUGAAAUUGAAAUUGGACUUUAUUCGCGCAGUAUAGGUGGGAGGCGUUGAAAAUACUCUUGCGGGAGUAUUGGAGCUAUCAGUGAGAUACCACUCUUAUAAUGUUAGAUUUCUAACUUUGAACCAUUAUCUGGUCAAAGAACAGUUUCAGGCGGGCAGUUUGACUGGGGCGGUCGCCUCCCAAACGGUAACGGAGGCGUACAAAGGUUUCCUCUGAACGGAUAGAAAUCGUAUCUAGAGUAUAAAGGCAUAAGGAAGCUUGACUGUGAGACCUACAAGUCGAGCAGGGACGAAAGUCGGUCUUAGUGAUCUGACGGUACUGAGUGGAAAGGCCGUCACUCAACGGAUAAAAGUUACUCUAGGAUAACAGGCUGAUCUCCCCCAAGAGUUCACAUCGACGGGGAGGUUUGGCACCUCGAUGUCGGCUCAUCGCAUCCUGGGGCGGUAGUACGUCCCAAGGGUUGGGCUGUUCGCCCAUGAAAGCGGUACGCGAGCUGGGUUCAGAACGUCGUGAGACAGUUCGGUCCAUAUCCGGUGUAGGCGUUAGAAUAUUGAGAGGAGCCUUCUCUAGUACGAGAGGACCGAGAAGGACAUACCUCUGGUGUACCAGUUAUCGUGCCAACGGUAAACGCUGGGUAGCUAUGUAUGGAGUGGAUAACCGCUGAAAGCAUCUAAGUGGGAAGCCCACCUCAAGAUAAG
rnacentral:rRNA from 1 species